UCCGACUCUGGAGGCGACCUGACAGGAACACACCCGGCUUCUCCUAAACAUCGCAUCGUGUCAUCACUCCGGCAGCAGCAGGGCGGAUGUUCUUCAUCGUCUUCACCAUCACAUUAGCAUCUGACACCCGGCGUGCAGUGGUGCCGACAGGUGGCGUAUGCGGGCGCCCCUCACGAUGGUUUCUCCCACCAUGAAAGCGUUGGUAGAUGCUGUAUGGGGGAUUUGGAGCAUCGGGGCCUCCAUUUAUGACUACAUUCACACCAACGCCAUGGAGGAGCGCAUCCACGCCCUGGAGGACAUCAUCACCAUCCACCAGUGUGUGAUUGGACUUCUGUCCACAGGCGUAUUGGUACUCUUUACUUACGUCUUUUUCAAGAAGCUCUGAUGAUGUGUGAAGGGGUGGACUGACCAGAUUCAGGCAUUAGGGUUCAGUGUGGUUGAGAACAUUGACCAGACAUUUAAUGAGGGAUUUGUACACAUUGGGUACAUCUACAUGGGCACACUGUCUUUAUUCAGAUAGUGUCCCAUGAUGGGAAAAAACACCUCAAAAAGUUAUUCAUAAUCCAAUUAAAUAGAGAAUACGUCUGUAGGUGUCUAGGAAAUGCCUCAACAUCGUGAUUCACAACUUUUCAAAAGGGAACAUUAAUGAAAAUAAUAAUUAGCCAUAACUUCUGCCUUAAAGCACAUUGUUUUAAGUGUAACGAUAUUAUUUGUUAAGUUUGCACUAAUAUUCUCAAGGACUGACCGAGAUAACAGGAGGAACUAGUGUCGGAGUGCAGAGGUUCUUUAAUAGUGUUGAAUUUAAACUAAAUUGUUUAUUGAUAUUUUACUUAACUGUCAUCAUAGUUCUGCUAUAAACAUAUUUCAAUAGUUAGACUAUUAUUGAGUACGUUUUGUGAUAACUUUUACCAAGCCUGUAAAGAUAUUUCAUUUGUCUGAGAUUGUCCAAUGAAAGAAAUUGCAUCCUAAAAUCCCUUUGCGAUACAAUUUUAUAGGUGUAUUAUCUACACUAUUAGACUCUAAAUCCUACAUUUGUCAUGUUAUACCUCCUAGCUUAAACAUUACUGAGGGUGCCUCUGCAGGGAUAUGCGACAAUUUGAAGUGUCCUUAAAAAGUAGCUAUAAAUAUAUAUCUAUGGACAGUUCUUGUAGCUGGCCAUUGAAUUAUUGUAUAGCAGUGAUGGAUAUCUCAAAGUGCUACUGCUUGUAUUUGUUUUUUUCGGGUUGGAGUUUGAAAUAUAUUCUUGGUACCGACUGCACCUACUGGUUACAUUUGUGAAUUUAAGAAGAUAAAGGAUGUUUUGUCAUAGUAACUUAAUUAACCAACUAUUCCUGCCAAGAUAACUAUUUGAAGAAGUGGUGGGUCAUAAAAACUACUGCUGUGUGAAUCCAUAGUUUAGAGAAAGUGUGUUUAUCUGUGUACAUGUGUAAUGUCUCAGAGGGACCAGGACAUAUUGAAAGACUGUUUUAAUAUCAUAACAGCAUCAAAGUUGGCAUCACAACAUUUCAAAUAAAUGUGGAACUCUAUAAAACUGGACAUCCUUACCAUAUUACAUGCUACCAACAUCAGUAUGAUAUCAAAUGUGGUAACAAACUGUCAUAAAUGGAAAGUUUUAAAAUACAACUGCCCUUUCAAGAACAUUUUACCCAACAAUGCUGGAACAAUUGAAGAAUAUUCAACAGGCCUGAAGGCAAUGAAACAACUCAUAGAUGGUCAUAGCACCAACCAUGACCCUGCUGAUAAACUUCUACACAAUUGUUGAACACUGGCUGUUGCUAUGGGAACUUACGACACUACUUGGACCUUUUUAGGUGACUCAUAAGUGUCCAGUCUGCAUCAGAGUAAACCUGCAGGUGAACCUCUCCACGCUCUCCCCCUCCAGGAACUUCAUGGCUCUCCAGUGGAUCUUGCCACUGUUCUCUGGCUGACCAAAGGUUCCCAUUUCCUCCUGGAUGUACUGCAGCCACAGAUCUUCAGAGAAAUACAAACAACAAAACAUUUUUAAGGAAAGAUAGUGCCAGGAAAAUAAAACAAUCUGACACCCAACAAGGCUUUUUUCAUUUAUCCCAAUUAAAAAGGUUUCCUUUGGCCUUGAAACCAGAUUAAAAGUGUGUUUGGGAUCCAGCCACAGAUACAUUUUCAAGUCUAAGAUUUUAUUUUAAAUGUAUUUUGUGAACAGAUACCAGCUACAGUGGAGGAAAUAAGCAUUUGAUCCCUUGCAGAUUUUGUAAGUUUGCCCACUUACAAAGAAAUGAACAGUCUAUCAUUUUAAUGGUAGAUUUAUUUUAACAGUGAGGGUAAGAAUAUCAAAAAGAAAAUCCAGAAAUGUACAUAAUAUAAGGGAUCAAAUACUUAUUUCCUCCACUCUAUCUGGUCAUAUAACUAAUACUGUAUUUGGCAUUGACACACGUCUUGUUAUAUUUUAGUCCUCUAUACUUGAUUACCAGGAUUUUGUGAAUAAAUAUUUUAAACAAACAUUA